UAGGGAAUCUUCCACAAUGGACGCAAGUCUGAUGGAGCAACGCCGCGUGAGUGAAGAAGGCUUUCGGGUCGUAAAACUCUGUUAUUGAAGAAGAACGUGUGUGACAGUAACUGGUCAUGCAGUGACGGUAUUCAAUCAGAAAGUCACGGCUAACUACGUGCCAGCAGCCGCGGUAAUACGUAGGUGGCAAGCGUUGUCCGGAUUUAUUGGGCGUAAAGCGAGUGCAGGCGGUCUUUUAAGUCUGAUGUGAAAGCCUUCGGCUUAACCGAAGAAGGGCAUCGGAAACUGGGAGACUUGAGUGCAGAAGAGGAGAGUGGAACUCCAUGUGUAGCGGUGAAAUGCGUAGAUAUAUGGAAGAACACCAGUGGCGAAGGCGGCUCUCUGGUCUGUAACUGACGCUGAGGCUCGAAAGCGUGGGUAGCAAAACAGGAUUAGA
rnacentral:rRNA from 1 species